GGUUUCUCUGUGUAGCCCUGGCUGUCCUGGAACUCACUCUGUAGACCAGGCUGGCCUUGAACUCAGAAAUCCACCUGCCUCUGCCUCCCGAGUGCUGGGAUUAAAGGCGUGCGCCACCACCGCCCG
rnacentral:miRNA from 1 species